rnacentral:tRNA from 1 species
UCCCUGGUAGUCCAGUGGUUAAGACUCCAUGCUCCAAAUGCAGGGGAUCCAAGUUUGAUCCCUGGUCAGGGAA